CAGUCGCCACGGUAACACGUAGGGUGCAAGCGUUAAUCGGAAUUACUGGGCGUAAAGCGUGCGCAGGCGGUUUUGUAAGACAGAGGUGAAAUCCCCGGGCUCAACCUGGGAACUGCCUUUGUGACUGCAAGGCUAGAGUACGGCAGAGGGGGAUGGAAUUCCGCGUGUAGCAGUGAAAUGCGUAGAUAUGCGGAGGAACACCGAUGGCGAAGGCAAUCCCCUGGGCCUGUACUGACGCUCAUGCACGAAAGCGUGGGGAGCAAACAGGAUUAGAUACCCCUGUAGUCCCUGUCUCUUAUAC
rnacentral:rRNA from 1 species